rnacentral:rRNA from 1 species
GACGAACGCUGGCGGCGUGCUUAACACAUGCAAGUCGAACGGAAAGGCCCUGCUUUUGUGGGGUGCUCGAGUGGCGAACGGGUGAGUAACACGUGAGUAACCUGCCCUUGACUUUGGGAUAACUUCAGGAAACUGGGGCUAAUACCGGAUAGGAGCUCCUGCUGCAUGGUGGGGGUUGGAAAGUUUCGGCGGUUGGGGAUGGACUCGCGGCUUAUCAGCUUGUUGGUGGGGUAGUGGCUUACCAAGGCUUUGACGGGUAGCCGACCUGAGAGGGUGACCGGCCACAUUGGGACUGAGAUACGGCCCAGACUCCUACGGGAGGCAGCAGUGGGGAAUAUUGCACAAUGGGCGGAAGCCUGAUGCAGCAACGCCGCGUGCGGGAUGACGGCCUUCGGGUUGUAAACCGCUUUCGCCUGUGACGAGGCGUGAGUGACGGUAAUGGGUAAAGAAGCACCGGCUAACUACGUGCCAGCAGCCGCGGUGAUACGUAGGGUGCGAGCGUUGUCCGGAUUUAUUGGGCGUAAAGGGCUCGUAGGUGGUUGAUCGCGUCGGAAGUGUAAUCUUGGGGCUUAACCCUGAGCGUGCUUUCGAUACGGGUUGACUUGAGGAAGGUAGGGGAGAAUGGAAUUCCUGGUGGAGCGGUGGAAUGCGCAGAUAUCAGGAGGAACACCAGUGGCGAAGGCGGUUCUCUGGGCCUUUCCUGACGCUGAGGAGCGAAAGCGUGGGGAGCGAACAGGCUUAGAUACCCUGGUAGUCCACGCUGUAAACGGUGGGUACUAGGUGUGGGGUCCAUUCCACGGGUUCCGUGCCGUAGCUAACGCUUUAAGUACCCCGCCUGGGGAGUACGGCCGCAAGGCUAAAACUCAAAGGAAUUGACGGGGCCCCGCACAAGCGGCGGAGCAUGCGGAUUAAUUCGAUGCAACGCGUAGAACCUUACCUGGGUUUGACAUGGAUCGGGAGUGCUCAGAGAUGGGUGUGCCUCUUUUGGGGUCGGUUCACAGGUGGUGCAUGGCUGUCGUCAGCUCGUGUCGUGAGAUGUUGGGUUAAGUCCCGCAACGAGCGCAACCCUUGUUCACUGUUGCCAGCACGUUAUGGUGGGGACUCAGUGGAGACCGCCGGGGUCAACUCGGAGGAAGGUGGGGAUGACGUCAAGUCAUCAUGCCCCUUAUGUCCAGGGCUUCACGCAUGCUACAAUGGCUGGUACAGAGAGUGGCGAGCCUGUGAGGGUGAGCGAAUCUCGGAAAGCCGGUCUCAGUUCGGAUUGGGGUCUGCGACUCGACCUCAUGAAGUCGGAGUCGCUAGUAAUCGCAGAUCAGCAACGCUGCGGUGAAUACGUUCCCGGG